rnacentral:rRNA from 1 species
UACGUAGGGUGCGAGCGUUAAUCGGAAUUACUGGGCGUAAAGGGCGCGCAGGCGGCUCAUUUUGUCAGGCGUGAAAGCCCCGGGCUUAACCUGGGAGCUGCGUUUGAUACGGAUGGGCUAGAGUUCGGGAGAGGAGAGUGGAAUUCCCAGUGUAGAGGUGAAAUUCGUAGAUAUUGGGAAGAACACCGGUGGCGAAGGCGGCUCUCUGGACCGAUACUGACGCUGAGGCGCGAAAGCGUGGGGAGCAAACAGG